rnacentral:misc_RNA from 1 species
GGUUGGAUCAUUAAAAAGAUAAAGGCUAGGAGGCUUUUCUAAGCAUCCGGCAUGCGUAAGCAUGUUUUGGCCUAACAGUCUGAAAAGACCUUUUGUGAACUGUCUUGUCUCUGGCGGCUGGAAGUUUUUUCUUCUGUCAGCUUGGGGGGGAUAAGUAUAUCUCUCUCAAGCCGUGGACAAACCGCCAAACAUGUACAUAACUCAAUAUGUAAUUUUAUGUCUAACCUUUUUUUGUAUAAAAUAUACAAACAACUUUUGGCAACGGAUCUCUUGGCUCUCGCAACGAUGAAGAACGCAGCGAAAUGCGAUAAGUAGUGUGAAUUGCAGAAUUCAGUGAAUCAUCGAAUCUUUGAACGCACAUUGCGCUUCCUGGUAUUCCGGGGAGCAUGCCCGUUUCAGAAUCAUUGAAAAUCUCUUAUACGUAGUGCUUAGUAUACAUUGUAUGCUGGGUGCCACGUAUCAAGGAUGCUGGAUAUUUUUGAUAGCUGUAAUAUGCUACCAAUUGUCUGGAAAUGAUUGUAUGGGCUUUCAAAAGCAUUUGUUAGCAGCAAAAGUGCAACAGAAUUUUUCUAUUCGCUUUUGGUUGCUACGGAAUGCUAUUGGAAAGGGUUCAUACUCCAACUAAAUACCAGUAACUACCACUUUGGUGUUGGUUGCUGAUAACUUGGUCUGAAAUCGGGCAAGAAAACCCGCUGAACUUAAGCAUAUCAAUAAGCGGAGGAAAAGAAACUAACAAGGAUUCCCCUAGUAACGGCGAGUGAAGCGGGAAUAGCUCAAAUUUGAAAUCUCAUAGGGUAACCUGUGCGAAUUGUAGUUUAGAGAAGCGUUUUCGGGGGUGACUUGGGUAUAAGUCCUCUGGAACGGGGCAUCAUAGAGGGUGAGAAUCCCGUUUAUGAUCCAAUGUUCACUCCUAUGUGAUACGCUUUCCAAGAGUCAGGUAGUUUGGGAUUGCUGCCUAAAAUGGGUGGUAAAUACCAUCUAAAGCUAAAUAAUGGCGAGAGACCGAUAGCGAACAAGUACCGUGAGGGAAAGAUGAAAAGAACUUUGAAAAGAGAGUUAAACAGUACGUGAAAUUGCCAAAAGGGAAACGCUUGGAACCAGUAUUGGACGCAGGUAAUCAAUCAAACGCCUUGAAAGAGGUAGUUUGGUGCACUUGCCUGUGGACAGGUCAACAUCAGUUUGGUCUGGAGUAAAAAGCCAGAGGAAGGUAGCUUGGGCUUCGGUCUGAGUGUUAUAGCCUCUGGUCAUGCACUGGAUUAGACUGAGGUCUGCAGCAUUAUUUGGGUACCCGGUUGCCUCCUGAACUCUACUUUUAGACAGCUUGCUGACUAGAAGUAGGUCUAGGGAGCCCAGCUGGUUUAUCACACCAAUGCUUAGGAUGUUGACGAAAUGGUUCCAAAUGACCCGUCUUGAAACACGGACCAAGGAGUCUAACAUAUAUGCGAGUAUUUGGGUGGCAAACCCUUAUGCGUAAUGAAAGUGAAUUUUGGUGGGAUCUUCGGUGCACCAUCGACCGGUCUGGAUUUUUUUGAUAGAUCUGAGUAAGAGCAUAUCUGUUGGGACCCGAAAGAUGGUGAACUAUGCCUGAAUAGGGUGAAGCCAGAGGAAACUCUGGUGGAGGCUCGUAGCGAUUCUGACGUGCAAAUCGAUUGUCAAAUUUGGGUAUAGGGGCGAAAGACUAAUCGAACCAUCUAGUAGCUGGUUCCCUC